UGGCGAACGGGUGAGUAACACGUGGGUGAUCUGCCCUGCACUCUGGGAUAAGCCUGGGAAACUGGGUCUAAUACCGGAUAGGACCAUGCUUUAGUGUGUGUGGUGGAAAGUUUUUUCGGUGUAGGAUGAGCCCGCGGCCUAUCAGCUUGUUGGUGGGGUAGUGGCUUACCAAGGCGGCGACGGGUAGCCGGACUGAGAGGUUGGUCGGCCACAUUGGGACUGAGAUACGGCCCAG
rnacentral:rRNA from 1 species